CCCCACCUGUCGUGAGGAGAAGCCGAGAGCACCAGCCUAGAAGAGUAGCCGAGAGCACCAGCCUAGAAGAGAAGCCGAGAGCACCUGCCUAGAAGAGAAGCCGAUAACACCAGCCUAGAGGAGAAGCCGAGAGUGUCAGCCGAGAGCAUUAACCGAGAGUACCAGCCAAGAGAAGAAGUCAGGAGUUCCCACCAAGGAAAGAAAUUAAGUCUUGUUAACCUUUUUCGAGUAUUCUUGGUCCUUGUUGUAAGAACA
rnacentral:lncRNA from 1 species